rnacentral:tRNA from 1 species
GGGUUGGUAGCCAAGCGGCGACGUAUGUCUAAGGCACUCGACUUUUAAUCGAGGGAUCGUUGGGUUCGAAUCCCACCCGACCCA